rnacentral:rRNA from 1 species
CCUCUACGAGUCGAGUUGUUUGGGAAUGCAGCUCUAAAUGGGUGGUAAAUUUCAUCUAAGGCUAAAUAAUGGCAAGAGACCGAUAGCGAACAAGUACCGUGAGGGAAAGAUGAAAAGCACCUUGAAAAGGGAGUUAAAUAGUGCGUGAAAUUGUUAAAAGGGAAACGAUUGAGACCAGUAUUGGCAGUGCUGGUAAGUGGCCUUGGGUGGGGGUAGGUUGGGAGUCCAAGAGCAGACUAUGCCUUGGGUCCCUNUCUCUCGCCGUCCAUGGCCAUGUUUUCCGGCACUGGCGAGUCAGCAUCAGCUUGGCUGGCUAGACAAAGGUUGGGGGAAGGUGGGGCGUUAGAGUUUUCUUUCGCUCUUUAUAGACUCCAGCCAACCUAGCCGGCUGGACUGAGGCGAGCAGCUGCGUAAUCAUCAGGUGUGCCUUGUAUCCCAAAGGUCAGGACUACGUGUAGACCAAACCCCCAAGAUCCAUCCCACCCUGAUGCAGUAGUAUCUGGAUGCUGACGAAAUG